rnacentral:rRNA from 1 species
CCUACGGGUGGCAGCAGUGGGGAAUAUUGCACAAUGGGGGAAACCCUGAUGCAGCGACGCCGCGUGAGUGAAGAAGUAUCUCGGUACGUACAGCUCUAUCAGCAGGGAAGAAAAUGACGGUACCUGACUAAGAAGCCCCGGCUAACUACGUUCCAGCAGCCGCGGUAAUACGUAGGGGGCAAGCGUUAUCCGGAUUUACUGGGUGUAAAGGGAGCGUAGACGGCAGCACAAGUCUGGAGGGAAAACCCGGGGCUUAACCCCGGAACUGCUUUGGAAACUGUGCGGCUGGAGUGCAGGAGGGGUAAGCGGAAUUCCUAGUGUAGUGGUGAAAUGCGUAGAUAUUAGGAAGAACACCAGUGGCGAAGGCGGCUUGCUGGACAGUAACUGACGUUGAGGCUCGAAAGCGUGGGGAGCAAACAGGAUUAGAUACCCGGGUAGUC